rnacentral:tRNA from 1 species
GCUAUUGUAGCAAAACAGGCACUGCAAAAGAUCUAAGCUCUUUUUAUAGAGGUUCAACUCCUCUCAAUAACU